UUCAAGUUCAGCCAAAGAGCAGGGGGAGUCUCCUGGAAUAAAGUUGAAUCAUAGAAACUUAAAACAAGAAUUGAGGGAAAUCUUAUCCAAGGAUGGGAUCCUCUUUAUUUGAAUGAAGUGUUCCUGAUACAUGUAUCAGGGUCCCUGAACCAGUGACAAUUUAUGACAAUCAAACAUCAAUAAGCCACCACCCACAUAAUGACAGCAACACUCCUUGAAAUAUGGGAUUACAACUAAAUAAGGGAUGAUCUACACAGACGGUGGAAAAAAGGAAGAACCCUGGAACAUGGUUGCUGCUGUUUCGUAUUAUUUAGAGUUAACAGAAUC